UAUGUGAUCGUCUCUCGCAUAUCAAUAAGCGGAGGAAAAGAAACUAACAAGGAUUCCCCUAGUAACGGCGAGUGAAGCGGGAAGAGCUCAAAUUUGAAAUCUUAAAGGGUUUCCCUUUACGAAUUGUAGUUUAAAGAAGUGUUUUCUGUUGAGGUUUUGGUAAAAGUUCUUUGGAAUAGGACAUCAUAGAGGGUGAGAAUCCCGUAUUUGACCUUUACUUUCAACUUUGUGAUACACUUUCAAAGAGUCGGAUUGUUUGGGAAUGCAGUCCAAAAUGGGUGGUAAAUUUCAUCUAAAGCUAAAUAUUGGCGAGAGACCGAUAGCGAACAAGUACCGUGAGGGAAAGAUGAAAAGAACUUUGAAAAGAGAGUUAAACAGUACGUGAAAUUGUCAAAAGGGAAGCGUUUGACACCAGUGUUGUUUUUUCUGAAAAUCAAUUAAAGAACUGUUUAUGCUAAGCUGUUUAGACUUUAUCAGCUAUCUGUUUAGUUUUGAGCUUUUCUUUAAUGCACUUUUCAGUUAACAAGUCAACAUCAAUUUCUUUUGCUGUAAAAAAGCUUGAGGAAGGUGGCUUGAGAUUCGUCUUAAGUGUUUAUAGCCUCUUGCCUAUGCAGUCGGAGAGAUUGAGGUCUGCAGCGUAGAUCCUUCGGGGCUAAAUGCAUUUGUGCUAAGUUAUAGCAUUUUAUAGACAACUUGUUGACUAUGAUUUGUCUUGUAGCUUACUCGCUUAUGUUAUUUUACCUACGCUUAGGAUGUUGAGCGCAUGUCUCUCUCU
rnacentral:rRNA from 1 species